rnacentral:snoRNA from 1 species
AAACCAUGAUAUGGAAACUUACACAAAAUUAACUUAAAGCGCUCCCAUGCCUCAUAUAAUUACUCUCCUUCCAAUUGUCGAAAACUAAUAAUAUCCAUAAGAAGUUU